rnacentral:sRNA from 1 species
AGAGCGGGGACGGCAUGAGGCGGCGGUUGAUCCCAGGGUGGCGAGUGGCGGCGACCGAGGCGGCGAGCGGGGCCCGGCGCCGACCCUGAGUGCAGCCUGACCCGCCCUCGCGCGUGCGCCCUCCCCGGCCGGGCCCACUCGCCGCGCGCCCAGCCAUGAACCUGGCGAGCCAGAGCGGGGAGGCCGGCGCCGGCCAGCUGCUCUUCGCCAACUUCAACCAGGACAACACGUCCCUAGCUGUUGGUAGUAAGUCCGGUUAUAAAUUUUUCUCCCUUUCUUCUGUGGAUAAGCUGGAACAGAUCUAUGAAUGCAUUCCUGGAAGACGGUGGCCCCUAGUCUGAGAUGCUGCUGAGCAGAGAAGCUGCAGACAGAGCCUGUCCUCCCCGGCCCCCCCACCCCGCCACCGUCUCCCCAUUUGUGGCAGACGCUUGCAUUUGUUCCUUUUGAAUGAAGGUCACUUGCUGUUGUCAGAAAGGUUUAUGGCAGCUUUCUGGUAAAAGCAACUGAAAAGACACUGAAUGGACGCUGUGAAGAGCUUAGGAUGAUGCGCUUGUUGUUUGUGGCCUGUUCCAUUCAAAGUGGUGUCGCACUCCACGAUGGCGCCCGAUACGGAAGAUGUGUGCAUCGUAGAGAGAUUGUUCUCCAGCAGCCUAGUGGCCAUUGUGAGCCUUAAAGCACCAAGGAAGCUAAAGGUUUGCCACUUUAAGAAGGGAACUGAGAUCUGCAACUACAGCUACUCCAACACGAUUCUGGCUGUGAAGCUCAACAGGC